rnacentral:rRNA from 1 species
UGGGGAAUCUUAGACAAUGGGCGCAAGCCUGAUCUAGCCAUGCCGCGUGAUCGAUGAAGGCCUUAGGGUUGUAAAGAUCUUUCAGGUGGGAAGAUAAUGACGGUACCACCAGAAGAAGCCUCGGCUAACUACGUGCCAGCAGCCGCGGUAAUACGUAGGAUCCAAGCGUUGUCCGGAUUUACUGGGUGUAAAGGGUGCGCAGGCGGACUUGUUAGUCAGAGGUGAAAUCUCACGGCUCAACCGUGAAACUGCCUUUGAUACUGCAGGUCUUGAAUUGGGGAGAGAGUUGUGAAAUUCCGAGUGUAGCAGUGAAAUGUGUAGAUAUUCGGAAGAACACCAGUGGCGAAGGGCAGCAACUUUUGGCCCUUAUAUUGACGCUCAGGCACGAAAGCAUGGGGAUCAAACA